ensembl:snoRNA SNORA70 Small nucleolar RNA SNORA70
AUGGGCAGAAGACCUAAAUAGACAUUUCUCCAAAGAAGACAUACAGGGGCCCGGUGCACAAUGGCUGCAAACAGCAGCCUCCUCGGUAGUGUAUGCAGCCUGUUGCCUGUGUGGGUUGCCCUAAGGGACCUUGGAGACAGCC